GUGCUUGCUUCCGCAGCACAUAUACUAAAAUGGGAACGAUACAGAGAAUAUUAGCAUGGCCCCUGUGCAAGGAUGACACACAAAUUCGUUGAGCAGUCCAUAUUUUU